rnacentral:tRNA from 1 species
GGCGAGAUGGCCGAGCGGUCUAAGGCGCCAGACUAAGGAUCAGGACAUCAUGAUGUCCAUUGGUAUCUGGUCCGAAAGGGCGUGGGUUCGAAUCCCACUCUCGUCA